AGGGGGCGCACUUCCUGUGUUCUGGGCUGGCCUUUUCCUCUCCCAGGUGCGCUUCCCUGCUUGAUCUGUGUACCCUGCUCUUUCUCCUUCAUUCCGCAGCCUCCUUUGCCCUGUGACCUGCAGGUACUGGACGGUCCCUAGAGAGGAUACCGGGACGCUCCUGAAGCCGCGAGAUGGAUGGGUCUUCCAUGAUACUGAAGGGAGAGCCACAUGUUGAUGCCCAGGACCAGCUGCCUCCUUGGUCUGAAAGGCCUGAUCGAGGCCAGGAUUGGCUAUGAGAGCUGGGAAAUGGGACCAUCUUUGAAGCCAUGGGAGAGGGUGAGAGCCACCAUCACUCAUGUUCUUGAAUGGGAACUGCCUGGAGACCCUGAAGAAGAAGGAGCCUGAAGGAGGAAGGAGGAGGCUGAGCCAUCCCGGGAACAUGGGCUGGAUGAGGCCAAGCCAGGAGACGACACCACCAGAUAGAAGUCACCAUUCAGGAUUUGGACUUUUCUGUGGAGAUCCUGGCCCCGAGAUCGAACCCUUCUCCCUGUGGGUGUUCCCGCAGGAGAUGGUGCUGGAGAUCCACCAGCUGUUCAUGGACCAUGAAUACCCAUGUCACCACAUCACUUCUCACUGCACCUGGGUGGCAGCACACUGGACCACGUCUCAGAGCUGCGCAGCAUGGCAGGGCUGCAGGCGGGCUUGCUGCUCCACGUGGUGGAAGAGCCCUGCACAAUGCACAAGGCCCACGGUGAUGAGUGCCACAUUUGAGACUGCUCAGGAGCCUGGACCCAGCUGAUGCAGCUCCUUGUCCUUCCUGAGCGUCUUCACUGACAGUGGCCUGAGAGACGGCAGGAGCAGAAAGACUUGGAGAUGGACCCCACCGACUGCACACCACCCAAGUACAUCCUGCUAGGGACCCUGGAACAGCCACUGUGUCCCCUGCAACCCCAGAACGGUGACUAAAAGCCCCUGAAAGUGCUCACCGUGAGCGGCUGGUACCUGUCCCCUGGGAACUGCAAGAUGCACAGGACCUUGUGUACCUGUUUGUGAUCACAGCCGAGGACCAGCGAGGUAGCAUUACCACAUCCACACAGGGCUUUUACCAUAACUGCCCCAGUACUGGAACGAGGAGCUGCAGAUGAUGAGGGACCUACCCAACAAGAACCAACCUGAGCAGCUGCUUCAAGAAAAAGCCAUGUUCAAGGUGCCUGAAUCCCCUGGUAAGUGAGUGACAGCCUCACAGCCUCAGGCCCACCUGGCUCCUGCUGGAAGGUUUUCUUGUGCUCGGGAGAGAAGUGAGGGAAGCCGGCAGUCCCAGCCCUGUCAGGUGCCCUGAAGGCCCGUCAGGUUUGCCCUGCAAGGCCUUCUAGCAUUCUGCUUCCUGGGAGACCAUCCCCCACCUUUCUCCGGCCUCUGAGACUUUGAGUCCUUGGGAGGAGAAGGCCCUCCUUGCUAUCUGGGCUGAGUGGCCAGGGCCAUCCAGCUUCCCACCCUCCACUGACUGCCAUGGGGCCCUCCCCUGAGCACAUGGUGCCCAACUGUAGCCCUUCUAGGGCAGGGGCUCAUUGGCAGCACUUGCAGCUUGCUGGCACUUAAAAGUCAUUAGUGCGGUUACUGAGAGAAAUGAGGAAAAAAUAAUUGUUAAAAAAAAAAAAAAA
rnacentral:lncRNA from 1 species